rnacentral:rRNA from 1 species
GACGAACGCUGGCGGCGUGCUUAACACAUGCAAGUCGAACGGUGAAGCGCCUUCCUUUUUGGUGGGUGUGGAUGAGUGGCGAACGGGUGAGUAACACGUGAGUAACCUGCCCCCUUCUUCUGGAUAACCGCAUGAAAGUGUGGCUAAUACGGGAUAUUCUGGGUCUGUCGCAUGAUGGGUCUGGGAAAGAUAUUGUUUCGGUGGGGGAUGGGCUCGCGGCCUAUCAGCUUAUUGGUGGGGUGAUGGCCUACCAAGGCGGUGACGGGUAGCCGGCCUGAGAGGGUGGACGGUCACACUGGGACUGAGACACGGCCCAGACUCCUACGGGAGGCAGCAGUGGGGAAUAUUGCACAAUGGGCGCAAGCCUGAUGCAGCGACGACGCGUGAGGGAUGGAGGCCUUCGGGUUGUGAACCUCUUUCGCCAGUGAAGCAGGCCUGCCUCGUUUGUGGGUGGGUUGACGGUAGCUGGAUAAGAAGCGCCGGCUAACUACGUG